rnacentral:rRNA from 1 species
GAUGAACGCUGGCGGCGUGCCUAAUACAUGCAAGUCGAGCGAACAGACGAGGAGCUUGCUCCUCUGACGUUAGCGGCGGACGGGUGAGUAACACGUGGAUAACCUACCUAUAAGACUGGGAUAACUUCGGGAAACCGGAGCUAAUACCGGAUAACAUGUUGAACCGCAUGGUUCAACAGUGAAAGACGGUCUUGCUGUCACUUAUAGAUGGAUCCGCGCCGCAUUAGCUAGUUGGUAAGGUAACGGCUUACCAAGGCAACGAUGCGUAGCCGACCUGAGAGGGUGAUCGGCCACACUGGAACUGAGACACGGUCCGGACUCCUACGGGAGGCAGCAGUAGGGAAUCUUCCGCAAUGGGCGAAAGCCUGACGGAGCAACGCCGCGUGAGUGAAGAAGGUCUUCGGAUCGUAAAACUCUGUUAUUAGGGAAGAACAAAUGUGUAAGUAACUAUGCACGUCUUGACGGUACCUAAUCAGAAAGCCACGGCUAACUAAGUG